rnacentral:rRNA from 1 species
GAUAACAGGCUAGUUCCGCCUAAGAGUUCAUAUCGACGGCGGAGUUCGGCACCUCGAUGUCGGCUCACCACAUCCUGGGGGUGGAGAAGCUCCCAAAGGUUUGGCUGUUCGCCAAUUAAAGUGGUACGCGAGCUGGGUUCAGACCGUAAAGGAGAAGAUUCAAGAAGCAAGAUUCAAGAUUCAAGAAUAACCGCAAUGCGAUCAUUCCUGAAUCAUGAAUCCUGAAUCAUGCAUCAUCUUUUUUACCGUCUGAAUCCCGAGGUUGAAUGAAUGGUUCCCACCAUUCAAUGUGACUUGUCCACGGCGGUCCCAAGGAGAAAUCCUCGGUGACACAGAUGACUUAUAUCGGUGAAGCCCGGAUCGCAGAGAUGCGACCGAGGUAACACCUAGGGAAAGAUAGUUGUUGGUUCCUGGUUACUAGUUGCCGAUAGAUCGCGCAUGCGAUUUACCAGCAACCAGCUACUAGUAACCAGCAACUAACUGCCCGUAGAGACUACACGUCAUCCACCCUCUUGAAUCGUGAAUCUUGAUUCAUGAAUCAAGGGUGAUCAUAUAGUCCAUUGCACGAAGCGAUUCGUGGAAACAAGCGUGAGACAGGUUGGUCUCCUAUCUACUGUAGGCGUUGAUGCUUGAGGGGAAUUGACUCUAGUACGAGAGGACCGAGUUGAACGAACCUCUGGUCUGGGAGCUCUGCCGCCAGGUGGACCGCUCCGCAGCUAUGUUCGGAUUGGAUAAGCGCUGAAAGCAUAUAAGCGCGAAGCCGGCCCCAAGAUCAGGCAUCGUUAUGAGACCCGUGAGAGAUGAUCACGUUGAUAGGCUUUAGGUGUACGCGCCGUAAGGCGUUGAGCCGUGAAGUACUAAUCCGUCCAUCCCGCCGGGAAC